ensembl:snRNA U6 U6 spliceosomal RNA
GGGCUCGCUUCAGCAGCACAAAUACUAAAAUUGUAACAAUACAGAGAAGAUUAGCAUGGCCCCUGCGCAAGAUAAGAACAUUGGCAGGAUUACUGUAAUAACU